rnacentral:rRNA from 2 species
GACUCUCGGCAACGGAUAUCUAGGCUCUCGCAUCGAUGAAGAACGUAGCAAAAUGCGAUACUUGGUGUGAAUUGCAGAAUCCCGUGAACCAUCGAGUCUUUGAACGCAAGUUGCGCCCG